GCAGAUGUGGCGGAACUGGCAGACGCGCUAGCUUGAGGGGCUAGUGAUAGCAAUAUCGUGGGGGUUCAAAUCCCUUCAUCUGCACCA
rnacentral:tRNA from 1 species